rnacentral:rRNA from 1 species
AUAUUGGACAAUGGGCGAAAGCCUGAUCCAGCCAUGCCGCGUGAGUGAUGAAGGCCCUAGGGUUGUAAAGCUCUUUCGCAGGUGAAGAUAAUGACGGUAACCUGAGAAGAAGCCCCGGCUAACUUCGUGCCAGCAGCCGCGGUAAUACGAAGGGGGCUAGCGUUGUUCGGAAUUACUGGGCGUAAAGCGCACGUAGGCGGAUUGUUAAGUUAGGGGUGAAAUCCCGGGGCUCAACCCCGGAACUGCCUUUAAUACUGGCAAUCUCGAGUCCGAGAGAGGUGAGUGGAAUUCCGAGUGUAGAGGUGAAAUUCGUAGAUAUUCGGAGGAACACCAGUGGCGAAGGCGGCUCACUGGCUCGGUACUGACGCUGAGGUGCGAAAGCGUGGGGAGCAAACAGG